ensembl:lncRNA
UGGAGGGGUUUUUUAUGGCAGUGCUCGGGAAUGGAGCACAGGGCCUUGUGUGCACCAAGUAGUCUACCACUGAGCUACUACAGCAGCCCAUAAGAGCAUUUUUAAGAGGAUCCACCCAGAUGCCUUUCAUUUUGAGGUUUGUUUCUCUUCUUCAGCUCAUGAAUUUAAAUGAAUUAAUAAUGGUUAAUAUGAACAGUAGCAACUUUUCAUUCUUUUGUGAACUAAGACAUCAUUCUAUUCUUUCUGGUAAUAAAAUUUUUCUUCAGUAAGCAUAAGUGUAUCUCAGGAGAAGCUGGAAUUCACAGGUGGGGAGUCCAACUAAUGCAGCCAAACAGACUGUUGAAUUCUAGCACACUGAAGGAGGAAUUUUCUCCCGGUUGGUUAUACAACAUUUGUAUCAAAAGAAUAUGGCUGGCUAUUUUGUCAGUCUUUUUUUUUCAAAUGGGCACUAUCGUGUAACUUAUCACAGUUAGUGAUAUGUGAAUUCUCAAAGUCUUCUCAAAAUUAAAAUUUAUUUCCAAAUUAUUUCCCCAAACAAAAAGUUGUUUCAAAAGGAAGAUUGUUGACAUUCUAUUUUUAAUUGCUCUCACACUCCAUUAGAAGGGGUGGUACAGCUGAAAAUAAGGUUGCCUCCAGGCAGAAUGGUGGCAAGGGCUUUAUCUUUAGCUGUGGGAGACCCCUGUCUCCUCCUUUUUUAGCUCUGACAUUUAAUUACCUCUUGUUAUUCGAUGGCUGCGCAAUGUGACCUUUCUAUCCCUUAUCUUCUAAAAUGUACUUUUCUUCUGAGCUUUAAUAUUUCAAAUUCUUUCUUUUUGUCUCCAUGUGGCUUUGAGCCUGAAUCUAACCAGACCAUCGAAUGGAAAUGUGAAGAGUCCACAGCCAGUUUAAUAGUUUAAUCUUCCAGUGUGGGGCUCUAAGGAUGUACAGACAUAAAGAUGUACGUAUCCUGAUCAUUUCAGCCUCUCAUGCCAGGCGAUUGGUCGGUAUUUCUCUGCGACCGUUUCUCAGGAAGCUCUCUGCAUGUCCCUCUUCAUCUCAGAAGCCAAUUCCAUGGAACCCGAUCUAAAACAGAUGGAGAUGACAUUCAUGUCGUUUAUAAACACUUAGCCAGAGUAAUCUGGAGGAUGUUUUCAGUAAUAAAUUCAGAGUCACACUUUGAACACGAAAACAAGUAUCUUUUCUUUAUUCCCUCGCCUAUUCUAAACAGAUUCUUCAGUAAUUUGAACAAGAUCUAGUCUGUAUUAUGUUAAAGAGAGUUUUAAAAAUAAACUCCACAUUAAUAAUUUGAAAGUCUAUUUUCUCAGUUUUGUAAUUUUUCCUUACUGAUACUGAUUGAUGAUACAACAUAAUUUCAAAUAUAAAAGAAUAUUCCAUUACUGUUGCUUCUUUAAUUAUCCUCACCCACAACUCCCAUCACCAUGAGAGCAGAGCUAUUGACUUACGAUUAUUUAUCUUACAGAAUAAGACUGAAUAUAUACUUGAUACAUAAUUGUUUGCUUUAACUGAUGAAUCACUGGCUCAAUUUACAUAAAAAAUCAAUUCCUUUGCACAUUUUUUCUUAAACUCAAACUUUAAAACUUUUUGACACAAAUUCACAUUAAUUCAACUUCUCCAAAAUGCGUAGCUUUAAUCCAUACAUUCUUGAAAAAACCCUUCACACAAAAACAAAAAAUAUCAUUAUCAAAUGCAUAUCUGUGGCUUAAAUUACAACUCAUACUUGUAGUAAAUUCUUUGUGGUAACAUCAUAUAUGCCAUAAAGUAACACAGGGCUGUGAUGAUAAUUAUGUGCUAUAAACGUGCUUUUGCAUGGGAACUCUGACCUGAUAUGUGAGGCUCACACCCUCUCUACUAUUGGCAUAGCAUCUACAAUUCCUGUUUGGUCGGGCUGAACCUCUUAUAAUGUCUUAAUUCACUUUUUAAAGUUUUUGUGGUGAAAGGAAGUCUUACUUUUAAAUUCUGAAUAUAUCCUACUUAAAUUGAAACAAAAGACAUUCUUUUACAAUUACUAACAUCUUUUAGAUAUUAAAACAGCAAGAUGUUUGACAUUCUGUUUUCAAGAGACUAUAAAUGAAAGUGUUACUGAAAAUAUAGAUAGCUUUACUUGUUUACAGAAACAUUUUUAUGCCUUUCUUUCUCUCUCACACAUACACAUACAAACACACUCACGGACUAUACUAUCUUAUAGUAUACAAUAGUUUACAAAUUUCUGGGGUUCAAAAUUUGAUAUUUUCAUAAUUAUUUGAAGUAUUUAUUAAACAAAUUUUAAUGUUGCAAAGAUUCUGGUUCAGAAAGAUGGUGUUAGGCUUGGGUUCAAUGAUUUUUCCCAAAACCUCUGAUUUUUGUCAGAAGGUAAUGGCCCUGUAAAGAAUUUGAUAUGAGUAUGUCUAUAUAAUUAUUUUUAUAACAGUGAAUAUACCAGCAGUGCCUAAUUUUAUGGUCCAACACAUUGCAGUAUGGGCUUCUUUCAUACUGAGAUCAUAGAGAUCAUAUAAUACAUCCUGAUAUUCUUUCUAUAUUGGGGCUUAAAGAAUGUUUUCCUUCUAGGAGUUUUUUAGAAAAAAAUAAAGUUUAGUUGUCAUUCUUCACUACUGAGCUGGAUAAUUUAAACAAAUUCCUUUUUUACUUGGUAAUUUCCUUAUUGGAUGAGUAACUGAUGACCUGGGGCCCUUACUGAGGGUAGGCACUUAGGACAGGAAAGAGAGAGAACAUCCUUUCAAAACAGCAGCAGAAAUAAAACUAUAGCAAUGCUGUAAGAACAAACUCAUAGGGAGGCGGAGCUGUAGAGUUGGC